ACCAAAGUAGCCUGUCAGCUCUGGUUUGCUGUUUAUGGCCAGGUCUGGGUUCUGAAACUGGGGAAGCUGGAGUAAAACACAGAGACGGUUCAGAGGCCAAGACAUGAGAAAGAGCUGGAAUUCUUGGCCAGCAUGGACACAUCUACAGCGAGUUCAUUCUGUCACUCCAAAACUACUCUCUGGGGAAUCUUCAAGGUGAAGGAUUUUUCUUGUCUCCAAGAAAUGCUGCAGAAGUUUUAAAAAUUAUUAUUAUUAUUAUCAUCAUCAUAUUGGAGAUCGAACCCAGGCAUUCACUAGCUACAUCCCCAACCCUUUUUAUUUUUUGAGACAGGGUCUUGCUAACUUGCUGAGGCUGGUCUUAAACUUGCCAUCCUCCUGCCUUAGCCUCCCAAGUCACUGGGAUUACAGUUUUGUGCCACCACACUUGUCAAGAAAAACAUUUUUAAAAACACUGCUCUGAGUGCUGGAAAUAACAGUGGAAGAGAGUUCAUCCCUGCCCGUGAGUUGUACAGUGAAUGAGGAGGGAAGGAUCAAAGGUAUUACAGAUUUCUACUUUCGAUGAAGGGGACAGGGAAUUUAGAAGAAGCAGUAGGUUGAUGUGGAAAGAUGCUUAGUCUUUGGAAGGUUUCAGUUUGACAUUUCUUCACAAAUAUUCAUGGGCCCAUAUGAAGCCUAUAUGAUUUGUCAAUGAAAAUUUAGAACAAUUGGUAGAGUAGAGGUACUUAUUUGUUCAUUUGAUGUACAAUCAAUGCACAUUGAAGAUUUCUGUUCAGGUCCAGAAACUAUCUCUUCAUUGUCAAAUGCACCAUUUCUGGCUAAUUUUGUCUCUUCUGCCAUGAGGAAAAGGUAGGAAGGCUGCUAUUAUCACGAUCCUAUGGCUCUUCAGAUUUUUGUUGGAACAAUAUAGAUCUCCCAGCCUCUGCAGUUUCCUACUCCCAUUUAUUUAAUGCUCAUUAAAUAAAGCAUUUUUACUUACACUGCACCAUCUCCCAGGAUGCCUGUGAAUAUUGGCUUCCAAUGGCCAGCUCAAAAGUUGUUACUGUGCUUCAGUGAUGACCACAAAUGCAAGCCUUGCCCAGAGUAAGCAGGAAAGUAUGAUUGAUCAUUUGUUUUCUGGUUAUAUUCAGAAAUUUAUUAUGUAAUGUGGAAUAACACACCUUCCAACCAUGUUUUCUUUUGAACAUUUUAGAGAGCAAUCACUGUGUUCCUGAAAUGAGAUCUUGUGGAUCAGUGAUUGCAUCCCUACCUUCCAUGCAUCCACUCCUGUGAGUUGAGUGGGCAGGAGGUCUCAUGGGAAGAUGAGAGGAGUGGACUUAUUCACAUAUAAAAUGUGUGUCCAUGCCAGGCAUGGCUUAACACUGAAACUGGGAGAGCAUGAUGUCACCACAUCAAUUGAAAGCAAGAAAGAAUAUCAUCACUUGGUGCAAACACUAGUGAAGAGGUAUGGAGUGUAAAGUGCCAAGUACCUGUCUUCUCUCCUGCUUCCCUCAGUGUUGUAACAGAUUAGAACACAGAGAGGUAAAAACCUAGGUCGGGAUUGGGAAGGCGGCGGCGAAUAGAGUGCAUCACCCCUGUGUACCGCGUCACUGCGCAGGUGAAUAACAAGUUAGAAUGACCAAAAGCUAUCUUGAUAGGAAUUUACAGCAAAAUUGGGGUGCACCGAAACCUAGAGGAAGGAUUUCCAUCACCGAGGACCGGUUACUGGGUCUCAACCGCAAGUGAACUGUGCGCCCGGAGAUCCAAGCUGAUUGAUCCAAGGCCCUAACUGCAGCUAGAGAUGGAGGGGCGCCGAGAAGCGGCCAGCAACGCAGAGAAAUGGCACUGCGGAUUCUGAGGAGUCCUGCCGGCUGUGCCCUCACUGAGCUCCGGGCUGAGUUCGGGGUUUGAGAAGGGGAAGGAAGCGGUCCAGUUCUGUGCCCCACACCGGACAGCCCACCAAGGAAGCCAGCGACCACCAUCUUGGAGAGCUGACGUCACCAUCGCCAGUUUCCGACAGAUCGCCACAAUAGAACAGGUGUGUGUUAUUCAGCCCAUCUCCCAUACAGUGGGGAAUUCGCAUAAAAUCUCUCCCUCGCUUUCCGGGGGAGGGAUUAUCAGAGUGAGCGUGGAUGGAGGCGUGGGGAAAGGUAAAGGCACCUGACCUCCAACUCCCCCUCCCAUCAGCAGCGAAAACGAAACCUGUCUUGCCAGCUCUGGGGGAGUGGCAAGCGGAAGGAAUCAAACAAUAAGGUGCCUGUUCCCAAUAGCCACGCUCCACACCCAGCAAACUGCAGGCCCAAAGUAUAGUUUGAACUGCCGAGUGGCAUCACACUGGGGAAGGCCUGGCUAGCAGGAGAAGCCAGGGGAAUAGAGGCCAGGAAUAAACUGAAGCUAACAGGUU